CCCUGGGGGGUGAUUUCUCGCUUUCUGUCUCUCUGUCUCUGUCUGUCUGGCGAGCACACGUGCCCUGUGGAAAAAAACUCGCCAGACAGACAGAGACAGAGAGACAGAAAGCGAGAAAUCAC
rnacentral:pre_miRNA from 1 species